rnacentral:rRNA from 1 species
AUACGUAGGGGGCUAGCGUUAUCCGGAAUUACUGGGCGUAAAGGGUGCGUAGGUGGUUUCUUAAGUCAGAAGUGAAAGGCUACGGCUCAACCGUAGUAAGCUUUUGAAACUAAGAGACUUGAGUGCAGGAGAGGAGAGUAGAAUUCCUAGUGUAGCGGUGAAAUGCGUAGAUAUUAGGAGGAAUACCAGUUGCGAAGGCGGCUCUCUGGACUGUAACUGACACUGAGGCACGAAAGCGUGGGGAGCAAACAGGAUUAGAUACCCUGGUAGUCCACGCCGUAAACGAUGAGUACUAGCUGUCGGGGGUUACCCCCCUCGGUGGCGCAGCUAACGCAUUAAGUACUCCGCCUGGGAAGUACGCUCGCAAGAGUGAAACUCAAAGGAAUUGGCGGG